CCUACGGGGGGCAGCAGUGAGGAAUAUGGGUCAAUGGGCGCGAGCCGGAACCAGCCAAGUAGCGUGAAGGAUGACUGCCCUACGGGUUGUAAACUGCGGUUAUAAAGGAAUAAAGUGAGGCACGUGUGCCUUUUUGUAUGUACUUUAUGAAUAAGGAUCGGCUAACUCCGUGCCAGCAGCCGCGGUAAUACGGAGGAUCCGAGCGUUAUCCGGAGUGACUGGGUGUAAAGAGUUGCGUAGGUUGCAUAAUAAGUAGCUGGUGAAAUCUGGUGGCUCAACCCUUCAGACUCUUAGCUAAACUGUUAAGCUCGAGCCCGUUAGGGGUAACUGGAAUUUCUCGUGUAGUGGUGAAAUCCGUAGAUAUUAGCAGGAACACCAAUCGCGUAGGCAGGUUACUGGGACGGUUCUGCCACUCAGGCACGAAAGCGUCGGGAGCACACGGGAUUAGAUACCCGGGUAGUC
rnacentral:rRNA from 1 species